UGAAAAGGUGUCAGCUAUCAAAGAAUGUCUGUCUCAGAAGCUGAAGGAAAGAGGCCACACCUCAGAGGAAUAAAUAAGCGCCUCCUAAGUGUGCGAAAAUACCUGGCUGAGAAGAUCAGUGACAUAAACUGGAUAAAAACUGUCAUUGGUCUAAGCCAGCCACAGUGAAGCCACAAACACACUUCAUAAUUCCUGUAUCUCUAUAAUACAUUAAUUAAUAAUAAUAAUAAAAAUAUCUUAUGGAA